GCUCCGUAGGUGAACCUGCGGAAGGAUCAUUAGUGAUUGCCCUCUGGGCUUAAAACUAUAUCCAUAUACACCUGUGAACCGUUUGAUUGACUCUUCUGAGUUGAUUUUACAAACAUUGUGUAAUGAACGUCUAGUUAUUAUAACAAAAAUAACUUUCAACAACGGAUCUCUUGGCUCUC
rnacentral:misc_RNA from 1 species